rnacentral:rRNA from 1 species
CCCUUAGAUGUUCUGGGCCGCACGCGCGCUACACUGAUGCACUCAACGAGUCUCCACCUUGACCGAAAGGUCCGGGAAACCUUCGAACUUGCAUCGUGAUGGGGAUAGAUUAUUGCAACUAUUAAUCUUCAACGAGGAAUACCUAGUAGGCGCAUGUCAUCAGCGUGCGUCGAUUACGUCCCUGCCCUUUGUACACACCGCCCGUCGCACCUACCGAUUGAAUGGUCCGGUGAAAUCUCGGGACGGCGGCUUGGUCGCUUGCGUCCGACUGCUGAAACUUGAUUAAACCAUAUCAUUUAGAGGAAGGUGAAGUCGUAACA